rnacentral:lncRNA from 1 species
GAAUUUCAACUUUUAUUGCUCCUGAAUUAGACUUCCCUUUGUAGUCAUGCUGUUUGCAGAUGCGUCUAUUCAUAUUGCCUGCAGCUGCGAAGCAAGGCAGGGCUUCAUUUGCAAGAAUUCCUGUGCAGCCGAAGAUUCAGAAGUGCUGUCUUGGAAGCAGUUUCCUUUCCCUUGGUCCUUUCAAUAAACAGUUUAAUCAUGCUCCAGGGCUAAUUGCUUUAAUUUCCUCUUGCACAAGUGUUUCCGGGCUUUCUGACCUGGCUGCUUCAGAGGCAGUGUCCAGAUUCACCAGAGACAGCACUGGGCAACGCUGAAGAGGCCUCGCAGCUCCCCACUGCCCUGCCUGUGACAAACACUGCUUCCAUCUGCAAAGUGCUUCCGAAGUCUAAUUUCCAGAUCGUUCACAGCUUCAUUACACAUAUUCUUCCAGAAAUGCUGUACACAUUCAGCAAAUGUUUGUUGAAGCUGCUUUGUCUAAAGAAAUAAAAACAAAAAUAAUGUUCAGGGCACCA